ACACCUAAAAACUUUCCACGUGAACCGUUUCAAACCAAAUAGUUGGGGGUCUUGUCUGGUGGCGGCUGCUGGCUUUAUUGUUGGUGGCUGCUGCUGGGUGAGCCCUAUCAUGGCGAGNGUUUGGGCUUCGGCCUGAGCUAGUAGCUUUUCUUUUAAACCCAUUCCUUAAUACUGAUUAUACUGUGGGGACGAAAGUCCUUGCUUUUAACUAGAUAGCAACUUUCA
rnacentral:misc_RNA from 1 species